AAGCCAAGCGACACCAAAGGUGGCCAGCAGCCCAUGUGAAGCUGGAGGAGAGGCCUCGAAUAAAUGCUCCCUUACAGCGUUCAGGGGGAACUGACCCUGUCCACACCUUGACCUUGAACUUCUGGGCUCCAGAACUGUGAGACAGCAUGUUCUGUUGUUGAAGGAGCAGCGUGGCUAGAGGAAUUCCUGCAGCUUAGAUUUCGCUGGCACUGUUACCACUCCCAGAGAGGAGCGGCUGGAGUUCACGGCUGGUUCCUGACAAACUUCCUAAUUAAUCUGCUAAAGAUCAGAGGAGGACUAAUAGGAGCUGAAGACUGUGUGCGAGACCACCCCUCCGCCCUCUCCCUUUGUGUGUGCACGUGUGUGUGUGUGUGUGUGUGAGCGCGUGCGCGCAUGUGGUGCUGAGCUUGGCGGGAGAGAGAUGGCCUCACCAGCGACAAAGCAUUCCUGCUGCUGUUGCUGCCACCUACCUUCCCUGCUUUGGGAGGAUACAUUUUCUCCUCUUGCUUAGAAGUUUCAGGGAGUCACCCAAGCCUUCUUCUCCCAGAUACAACGGUGGAAUAAAAUAUCUUCCAGCCAACAUAUUUUUUGGAGACGGAAUCUCACUCUGUCACCUGGUUGAAGUGCAGCAGCGCGAUCAUGGCUCACUGCAACCUCUGCCUCCCGGUUUCAAGUGAUUCUCCUGCCUCCGCCUCCCGAGUAGCUGGGAUUACAGGCAUGUGCCACCCACCACGCCUGGGUAAUUUUUGUAUUUUUACUAGAGACAGGGUUUCACUAUGUGGGCUGGGCUGGUCUCAAACUCCUGACCUCUGGUGAUCUGCCCACUUCGGCCUCUCAAAGUGCUGGGAUUACAGGCAUGAGCCCCCGCACCCGGUUGCAACCAACUUUUUUGUGGAAUAUAGGAUCUUGAUGUUUGGAUGCCUGAAGGCAGAAGCUGUUGCACAUGGAAUGGAUUAAAGUUUUCCCCUCUGCAACCAAAAAUCCUUGGGGUCCCAGGAGCAAAAGAUGCUCCAUGGCACAGGACAAUUCAAGAAGGCCCGAGGUGAUAUUGAAGACUGCAGAGACAUCCAGCUCAGUUGUGUCUCCGGAGGUGUCCAGACUUUGCAGACAGACGUUGCACAUAAAGAGCUGAAAAACUGAGGAAGCUGAGCUGGAGAAGGAAGUCACUUCUACUCAGACUUGACCUGCGUCUGAUGCUAUGGGGCCUCUUAGGGUUACCUCAUGCUUCAUGCACCCCUUUCUCUGUUCUUCAGCAGAAGGCAGGGUGUAGGGAAGCGGGACUGUGCCUCCUUUCUCCCUGCCAGGCCUGACUCUCCAGGCCAAGAGACACCAUUAAGGAGUAUAAUUUGUUGAUCCAGGCUCUCCUUGCGUUUCAGUGCAGAGUGGCAUCGUUUUCUUUAUGACCUCGUAAAGUCACAGCCGAGAGGCCGAUUUGGAAAACAAACUGCCUCAGGUUGACAGAUAAUUAGAUACAGGGGACAUAUUAUAUGCCUUUGCAUAUAAAUGUGCUCCGAGGCGUGUUGGUUCAUCUGAAGUUGAGGUUAAAGGCGCGCCAGGUAUUCCUGACACAUCAGGAUAUAUAUUUUCAUACAGUCUCAGGUGCUGUGUUGGUUUUAUAGGCCUUUCAUCCUGGUGCUGACGGAUGGGGUGUGAUUGUGACCCAACUUAGAAGAAAGGGACUUCCCUUGCCCAGGGGCCUCCUGGCGUUUUUGUUUUGUGUUCUCCCUCUCCACCCCCACUUUCUCUUCUUCCUUGGGAAGGGAACUGUUCUUUGGACCUAGGAUUCUGCCGUGAGUGACUAAUGGCCUGAGUAGGAGGGACCGGGACUCAUUUUUCUUUUCUGGACUCUAAUAGGCCCAAUUAAUUCAGCUACAACAUGGGCCCUUACAAGCCUGGGACAAGCCUGGGUGGAAUUCUAUAUUGAGGAGUUAAUCCUAAUAAAAAAUGAUUACAGAAGAGGACGCCUCCACCCACAGGAAGGAGCCAGCACGGUGGGGAGCUGUUUCACCAGGGGAGUGUUCUCAGCAGCUGCCACACGUGGAGUUGUGGAGGUAGCAAGCAGAGUUGGGGGAGGAGGGGGAGCCCUGGUUCCUGCUCUUCCAUGAUCAGUGUGCAGCCUUGAGCAUGGCACUCCCUCUCUUCCCAGCUUAGUGUCCUCAUCCGUAAAAUGAGGGGCUCUCUGAGAGUCUGCCAGGGCCGCUGUCUGAUCUGUGACAGCGUGGCAUGUGGUGUGGUAUGUAAUGCACGUUCCUGCCUGCAGGGAGGCCCUCUCCCUUCCCCCACCAGGCUUCUGGGCAGCACUUGCUGUCAUCCUUGCUUCUGGAACAGGACUGUGCUGUUUUCCAGGCCAAAUUGGAGGGCUGAGGGGGUCUAUUAAGAAGACUCUGGGGAGAUGGUGGAACAAUUCUGUGCUUGAAAUUACCUUCCUCUUUAAAUCUUGCCAUGGCCCUAUUAGAAAAGCUAAGGGGGCAGGAGGAGAGGAGCGGGCAGGGAGAGGAGAGAGAGAGAGAAGAAGGAAGAAGGAAAGGGAAAGCAGGAUCUUGGCAGUGGACUGCCACGGGAGCUCUGGGGAAAAAGGACCAGUUGGACUCCAGUACCUCCUGAGAGACCACCACCCUCCAUGCCUCCAGCUCAUGCCCAGCUCUGAGUCAGACGGACUCUUCCUGUUGUACUGCGAGGUUCUGCAAACCUUGAAGGGCAAACACAGUGAGGGUCUCUGACUUGCUGUGUGGACAGCCCACUCUCUGACAGCCCAGAUCAUCUGAAGCUAUCCCUGGGCUGGGAGCUGGAAGCCAUUCUUGUGAACCACUCCUUAUACCUUGAGCGAAGCCUCUUUGGGUCCCAGAAGUCUGAAGCUCCAGCUGCCUGGCAAGACUGAGUCUAGAUGAUUUCUUGGGUACCAGUAGUUUGGCAUUUAAAAAUACUGGAUUAACUGCAGUGUAAACUUAGAUUGCAUUUCAGAUUGUAAACAAUAACCCCCGUGCUUCAUGUGAUGUUAAAUCAGAAAUGAGCUAUUAGCCAAGCUAGUCCUCUUAUGAAUGAGCCCCUAACCCUGAUCCAGGGAUCGUUGAAUGAAAAUCAUCAAAAUGAUUUAUCUUCACUUUACCUAUUGUCUCACAAGAAUCUCAUCACUCAGGGAAAAGGAGGGUGUUCUUCAGGGAACGGAGGGCAUGAGGAAGGGGGAUUUCCUUAUAUCUCAACUUUCAGAGGGAGCUGAGUUGUAAACAGAUGGAACAAGGUGUGUACGAGAAGCCUCUUAGAUUUAGUCUUUCAUAUCAAGGCUCUUGCUGAAAAUCCUGGCACAGCUGUGAAAUGAGGGGAGCUCUGACACACAGAGACACGCUCCUUGCCUCACCAACCUUCCCAUACACAGUCAUGCGCACAGAGAGCAGGUACCAAUACUGAAAAUGCCCUUCCGGAGUUUCCUCAGCUUAAACCCUUGACAGCAUUAAGUGAGGAAGGAGUUUCCUUGACCUGGGGAAGAAGAACCAACUCAUAAACAUGGAACUGUGCCCACUGCCUUUUCCUUUGCUCUGUGGAUUGGCUGUGGUUCUGCCCUGGCACUCGGAUGUCAAGUUGCUCUGGCUGUUUGGGAGGAAGCCCAGCCUGGGUCAGGUGGUCAUAAGCCAGAGGCCCUGUCCUGUCCCCAGGGUUGGCCUCCCUCUGGGGUCCAGCAUGGCCCCAGUGCUGAGGCUCCCACUGCUGGGGAAUGUGCCCUCUCCUCUCUUUGUUUCCAUACCAAGGGGAUCUGCAGGGUAGAGGGCAAAUUAUUCUUAGCAGAUUGGGGCUAUGGGUAAACCAGAAGGGAUGAGGGAGAGAGGAGAGAGGAGAGGAAAGGGAAGGAGAGGGGAGGGCAGGGGAUAGGUAGAGGAGAGAGACAGCAAGAAAAAAUAGAAAAAAAAAAAAAGGAAAUAAAGGUUGCAUAUACAAAGGGAGAUUAACAAGGAGUAGAAGAAGGGAGGCAGAAGAGGGAGAAACAGAGAAGAGGAACAAAGAAGACAUUUCCAAAAAAGACGUGAGCACACCAGGCAGGAGGGAGAAAAGGAACAAGGAGAAAGGAAGGAAGUGAGACAAGCUGGGGAGAGAAGAGGCAAAGGCAGCCAGGAGCAGGCAUAGGGGAGAGAGGAGUGGGAAGCCCCAGGGGGUACAAGGAAAAAAAUGAGGGAAGCCAGUGGGAGGAAGGUGAGGAAGAGGAGAGGGAACAGGCACUGGGUGGGGAAGAGGCGAGCAGGAGAAAGCCUGUGCUGUGUGGAUUAUUGUGUGUUUGUCAUCUGGAAUGGUAUAAGCUGUAGGUACAGCAGCUCCCGCCCAUGAUUUAUGGUCCCUGUCAGGCAGGGACCGCGCUUUGUCUGCUGUAGCGUGGACGAUGAAUGCUCCGCUGUCAUCCCAGCCUGGCCGGCCUUUCUCUCUCUCUGCUCCCAACGCUGGCUCCCCAUUUCACGCCAGUGAACAUAAGCAAUCUUUUGUAAACCUGACAGUCACACUUGCUUCUUUGGAAACAUAAAGCAGAAAUGUAUGACUCGGCUUUCAUUACCCAAUUUCCUACGCUAUAUAAAAACACUCAGGAAAGACAUGUAAGUGGUCACGAAACCUGGGAAAUUGGAAGUGUCCUGGAGGAAAAAAAAAGGAAGAGUGGGGAGAAGGGGGCUGUAGGGUGGGAGGGAGCCGGUGAGGAGAGGAGACGAUGUGUCUAACUCCACCACAUCCUUCCCAGAAAACGCCGGCUGAUAAACGGGCCAUGCAGACACAUAAUUAUAUUACAUAUCUGAAUAAUAGACAUUUCCUGCCUGAAGUGUUGCUUUUUUUCCUCCUUCUCCUUUUAAC
rnacentral:lncRNA from 1 species